UGGCUCAGAACGAACGCUGGCGGCGUGCUUAACACAUGCAAGUCGAGCGGUAAGGCCCCUUCGGGGGUACACGAGCGGCGAACGGGUGAGUAACACGUGAGCAACCUACCCUCAACUUCGGGAUAAGCCUCGGAAACGGGGUCUAAUACCGGAUAUCAUCUCCUGCUUCAUGGUGGGGGGUUGAAAGUUCUGGCGGUUGGGGAUGGGCUCGCGGCCUAUCAGCUUGUUGGUGGGGUAAUGGCCUACCAAGGCGUCGGGGAGUAGCCGGCCUGAGAGGGUGUCCGGCCACACUGGGACUGUUCUACGGCCCANAGACAUACGGGAGGCA
rnacentral:rRNA from 1 species